UGGGGAAUAUUGCACAAUGGGCGCAAGCCUGAUGCAGCCAUGCCGCGUGUGUGAAGAAGGCCUUCGGGUUGUAAAGCACUUUCAGCGAGGAGGAAGGUGGUGAGCUUAAUACGCUCAUCAAUUGACGUUACUCGCAGAAGAAGCACCGGCUAACUCCGUGCCAGCAGCCGCGGUAAUACGGAGGGUGCAAGCGUUAAUCGGAAUUACUGGGCGUAAAGCGCACGCAGGCGGUUUGUUAAGUCAGAUGUGAAAAUCCCCGGGCUCAACCUGGGAACUGCAUUUGAAACUGGCAAGCUAGAGUCUCGUAGAGGGGGUAGAAUUCCAGGUGUAGCGGUGAAAUGCGUAGAGAUCUGGAGGAAUACCGGUGGCGAAGGCGGCCACCUGGACGAAGACUGACGCUCAGGUGCGAAAAGCGUGGGGAGCAAAACAGGAUUAGAUACCCUGGUAGUCCACGCUGUAAAACGAUGUCGAUUUUGGAGGUUGUG
rnacentral:rRNA from 1 species